ACAUCGUCGUAAAUCUUCUCCAAUCAUUUAGCUGAGCUGUUAUAAUUAGUCGACCGAGCACAAUGAACAAGUACGAAGAAAUGCAUAAUUGAUCGAUCACGGAGAGGAAGAGUUGAUGAAUCUUGAAUGAGCAUCUUGAGGAAAUGAUCCGCUGCCAUGUAACGAUGAUCAAUUGACUUAUUAUAAAAGAUUGAGAAUGUAUCUACCUCUUCUAUGAUUGUAAUUAUAACAUUGUGGCUUCAAAGUUACGACGUGAAUACUUGUAUAACUUUGUAGCAUUUCUGUAUUUCUCAUAUUCUUUGACUAAUCCGUUAAUCUUGCACAAGCAGAACUUUAAUAUGUUGUAAAUAUAUUUCGUGCAUUCAUUGUUUAUUUACUUAUGAAAAUAUAAUUUUAAGAGAAGUCACUGUUGACGAAGACCCAAAAUUUGCACGAAAACGAUGCAAUAAAUUAGCAAAGUCCUCCUGUUUCCAGUUUUUAAAGAGGUUUCAAAGGAAGAUCCGACUAGAUUAUUACUCUGCUUCCUUGAGACAUAGCAGGUAAUGAAAUUGUGGAGAAAACGCAAGCUUAAAGUUGUUUCGCUAUUUGUAAAAGUUGAUUACGUUCCAGCUAGAGGAAGUAUUGUCUUUCUUACAGGAGCGACUGGAAACACUUGAUAAAAGUAAGUCGAUGAAAGAGAAGUGAAGGUUAACCUUGUGCUUAUUCGUGCACGGCGAAAAGGACCUUCAAACGAUCUGAAUAUUUCCGAUCUUCCAAUCCACCAAGUAAAUGUGUAUGAGAAGCAAUUUUAACUAAGUUUCCGGUUCUUCAAAGAGCGAAGGAAAUGCCUGCUUCUCACAGUUGCGUUUUUCCCUCAAAAUAAGAUGGAAGACGAUACAAUUGUAGAUGCGGUAACUUCGCAAGGUAGUUUUACGUAUCUAAAGUAUUUUCUGCCUUAUUGAGAAUACCUGCAAGCUAUUGUACGAACCGCUAUAGUUAUUAGUUAUAUUAGUUGAUAUUACUUCAACUAAUAAGCCCCUAAUACGCCGUUAACAACAUUCAUAAAAAUUCCGAAAAGCUUCGUAGCUCUGAGCAUUAAUUUCUCUAUUAAUUUCUUAAAUUAUUUACUGACUCCCACGCAACACAGCGUUCACAGCGUUAAACAUUUACUUUUUAAAAGAAGUUUCUCAAAAUUCUAACUUCCAACGAGCAACAAAUCUCGUGUGACUAACGUUUUAAUGUUAAUAAAUACCAUCGACAAUAUUUAUUUCUUUUGUUGACUAUGUGGGUAACAAUCCGCUACUUUUGAUCACCGAAAAUGCAUCAAAAAGCGUAGCUUAGAUAAUAAUAACGAGCGUAAAACGUGUAACUUGAGCUUUUUGUUCUGUUCUUGCUCAACUGUUAUCAAACUUCGAUUAACGUAAAGGAGAGUUUCAUGAAGCUUGCUUUUUUGCAUCACUACUUUUUGACAUCAAGUGACGCUCACGUCAUCAUUGAACGCCGCAAGAUCUUUGCAAAAUCAUCGCAAGAUAACAUAAUGGUCACACAAUGACGGGAAUACAACAUCAAAGAAACGAGAGUUUGCUAAUUGGGCAGAUUAUGGAUGUUCCAAGGAUUACGUGCGAAGGAGAUCCUCUUUAAGACUUUGGAUUGUCCACUGGAUGUAUGCAGAGUAUAAUGAGGUGCUCAUUUGUUAGUCCUCAGGACAUCUUGAACCAUCUAAAGAACAUCCCCCUGCAUAGGAUGAUCUGUUGAAAUGUAAGGAGGGUAUUCAAUCCUUAUGGAAAGUAUGGAGUUUUCCAAAUCCAGAGAUCCCGUGGGCGUGGAAUUCCACAUCCUGAAUUCGGGAUAUUUAUAAAAAAUUUUAUUUUAAUAAUUAUAUUUAAAUGAGCUAGUUCUUGCGUGAUAUCGAGACAAAAUUAAAAGUAAAAUACUCAUAUUUGUAAAGAAAAAAUAUGAAAAGAAAUUAAAUAUAGAAGUAAAAAUAUA